UUAUUUCACUUAUUCCAUUCAAAAAGUGAAACUUGUAUAUUAUAUUCAUUAAUUACACACAGACUUCUUUUAAUUUUGAUUAUAAUAAGAAUCUUAUAAGAUUAUAAAAUUAUCAGAAUAUUACUUAAGACCAAUACAAAGAAAGCCAACUAAACGUAUUAACAUAAAAAAGUAUGAGCAUGUACAGCACUUAAUACUUAGUUGGGGCUCCUUUUGUCUGAAUUACUGCAGCAAUGCGGCUUCGAUCAGUCUGUGGCACUGCUCAGGUAUUAUGAGAACCCACGUUGCUCUGAUAGUGGUCUUCAUCUAUUUUGCAUUAUUAGGUCUGGCAUAUCGCAUCUUCCUCUUCACAAUACCCUAUAGGGGUUAAGGUCAGGCGAGUUUGCUGGCCAAUUAAGAACAGGGAUACUAUGGUCCUUAAACCAGGUACUGGUAGCUUUGGCACUGUGUGCCAGAAAUAAACAUUUGAAAUAUAUCAGUCUGUUGGUAAUGAAUGAAUAUAAUAUACCAGUUUCACUUUUUGAAUGUAAUUAGUGACAUAAAUAAACAUUUUGAUGAUAUUCUAAUUAAAUGACCAGCACCUGUAGGGGGACAAUAAUGUGGAUUUAAUCUGCUUGGCCCCCUUUUUAGCGUUAAUUAUCCACAACGCAUCUUUAGUAAAUCCUGACAUCGCUAUUAAACGCCAAAAUGAUGGUUUGCGCUGGCGCAAGCUGUUGGUAAAUCUGGCCCCAGGUCUCCUCCAGAAAUGAUUCCAAUUGUCUAUAAAACCCAUGUUAAGCUGUGGGCAACACUUUGACAUCCAGCCGUAAAGGAACACUAAUCUUCUAUACAUGUCAUAACCCAGACGGGGAGAGGAGAAGAGCAUAGAGGUAAGUAGUUAUUAUCCACAACUAGCUGUCAAAAUAUGAUUUAUUACCCUGUCAAUCACAUUUUGACAUAUAGUGGAGAUAUCAAUCAAAAGGUGUACAUGCUGUCCAGUUUUGAGUGUUGUAUUUUAUGGCUUUUAGACAGCGGCUGUCCGGAGCUGUGCAUGUUUUACAACGUGUCAAUCACCGCAUUGUUUUUCCUGUGUGUGUGUGUGUUUUGUCACGCGAAUGUUUGUCAUAUUUAUGGAUGUGUAAAAAAGUUUAUUGUUUUGGGUGUCCAGCUUCUGGACUGUCAGUUUUAACGACCGGCCUGUGUGUGCUCUCCCCCUCCCUCUCUCUCCCCCCUCCCUUCUUGCCCCUGCGUGUCUCACAGCGGGUGUGCGUUGUUGAAUCUAUUUUGUUUAGCAAAAUCAAAAGUUUCUUUAAAGUCAAUCAAGAAUCAAAUAUUUUAGUUGUAUCUGGUUAAACUUAAAUCUGAUAUUUUCUAUUGAUGUAUUUUCUUAGUUUCUGAUUAGACACAAACUUUCAGAUGCUGCUCUUAUGACCGUGUGUGUGUGUGGGGGGGGGGGGCGGUGGAUGCAGACGUGUAAGUUUUUAAUGUUUAAGAGACAUCCUUUAUUUACAUGCGGGGGAGCGACAAGAGAUCGUCAGGAGUCAGUUUGUAUGGAGAAGAGCUGGUAUACUCAAACCUGCUGCGGAAUUGUCUAAACUGAUAUUUAGUAUUCCUGGUAAAUCGGGGAGAAUAACGGACUGAAGAAAAAAAAAUCAGCCCUGGAAUUUAGAACCCCCGCCGCUUAGGACAGAGACGUGAAGUGGCUCGUGUCACCUGGUUUGGAUAUCAUUAGCAAAGCAAUCGAUGUGUGCACUAUUGCAAGAUAGGGCUGUCACCUUUCGUUCGAAAAUCGAUUGCACAAUCGAUCGGACCAACCAAAAAAAGUUUCGAAAGCGAAAAUAGGCAAUCGAUUUUAACCAAAUAUGUACACUAUUAAUUUUAAAAGAAUUAAACAGUUAAAAAUAUAGAUGUAACAAAACUCACAAACAAGCAGAAAAAGAAAAUAAAGAAUUCCGAGAAUGCAGUAGGUGUGCGAAAGCUAGACAGAAAAUACCCAGCAAUUUUACGCACCUUUAGUUUCACGCUUUAAAUCGCUGCAUCUAGUGUUUUGCAAAGAAAAUGGAGGACAACGUCAAUAAACCUGUGCAACACGAGAGAGCGUCGAAAUUGUGACCUUACAGGAGAUGAUGAGUUAUGACAAGGAGCCACCCUUGUGAGCUGACAGCGACCCGCUUUUGUGAUGGAAGAUUGGCAGUACGAAAUACGCAGCUGGCAACGAAGUACCCGAGUUUCCCUGGGACAUCAGUGCGGUCGGAGUGCGUCUUCUCAACAGAUGGACAUAUAGUGAAUGAAAAGCGCUCUGCUCUUGACCCCUAAAAUGUUGAUCGACUUGGUUUCCUGACCAAUAAUUUGUAAUGGCCCUAGCCUUUUUGCGCAUUUCAUUAUGCCUGCCUAGUGCCGCCUAAGUGUCGGUUACGUUUAAUAAAAAAAUACACAGCAUGUUCUCAACUUCAAGUAAGUCUAUUUAAAGUUUCAUUUUUGAACAGUUGUUUGAAAUGGAUCGAAUCAUUAUUUAAAAUAAUUUUUGAAUUGCCUAAAUCAUAAAAGCAGCCGGUUGAAGCCUGCAGUAAUGUUUUAUGGCAGCAGUCCACUACUGUUGCUGUUUUUUAUUCUGCACGAAACUUAAUGACAAUGAAUAAGAAAUAUUGCUGACUUGUGCGUUUCAGGCACUCUCUUUACAUUUGUCUGUUAUUUGGCGUUGAAAAUGGAAACGUCUUUUACAUGGAAAAUCGAUUUUACAAUCGAUUCACUGAACACUUAUAUAUUAAAAAUCGAAAAUGAUUUUUUCACAAAAGUGACAGCCCUAUUGCAAGAUCUAGAGUGGAUCUCCACGGUUAGGAUACAGACCACAACGCUUUGGACGUGUCUUUAAAAAGAGAAAAUCUGAGUCUUUUUGGAUUUGUCUGGAGGGCAUUUUAAACAUUUUGUAGCAGCUUGGAUUUUAUACAUUGCGGAUGCUGGAGAUCCAUGUUUGAAUUGUCCACAAAGGUUGUCACUUGUUAAAAAACACUUGGUUUUAAGUUUUGAUUUCAAGAGAUAGACUUUUAUUAUCCGGACAAAUCCGGACAAAACAGCAGAGGCCGCCAUGAUGAAUCCCCCCAAAACCAAAGUGUGGUCCUGGGAGGAUCCUCCAAAAUCAGUCUGACCCUCUGAGCCAUGGCUUGUUGGUAAAUCAUUCCAAAAAUGGGUUCCUAUCACGGAGAAACAUGACUGGCCGAAAGUGGUUUUGCGCCCCUCUGUUAUUAAGUUGCCACCAACUGCUCCCCUAGUGGCCACUCUCCUUGUGCUUAUUUUUGUCACAAAAGGACAGAGUAUGGCUGGAGCUAAAUUAUUUACACAUUUAAAAAUCAGUUUAAUAAAAGAGAACUUGAUAAAACUAUCAAAAUUUAAAAGCUUGUAUUUUUGUAUAAUCAGACAAUGAUGCCACGUAAUUGGUUUCUGAUCCAUUAUUUUCAAUGCCUGUUUAUACAGUGAUAUAAUGGGUUUGACUGUUGUGUGGGAGGCUUGGCCCCAUACAGUAACACAAUAAGAUAGGUGAGAGAGAAUCAUAGCAUGAAAGAAAAGCAAUGAUGCCUUGACAGGUAUAUGAGAUCUUAUCUGUCUAAAACAGUUCAAAUUUAUCUGAAUGAUAACGAUCUUCAAAUAUCUUCAUUGUAUAUGUUGCUCUGAUUUGAUUAUAGUAUUCUUCUAAUUCUCUUCUCACUUUUACACCUUAAGCUAGACUCUUUGAUGUCUUCAUAAUAGAUCUAGAGGUUUUAUAGUUGAUUCAUUCAAAAUUCCUGUUAUAAAGCAUUUCCUAUUGAAUUUUCUUAAGUCUAUAAUUCCAUAAGGUUAACAUAUUCUUGAUUGUAGUUUUUACUGUACCAUUCUGAAAUAUCUAUCCUUCCUUAUCUAUCCUUAAUGUUUUGUUACUAUACUACCAUUGACACAAAUUUCCAAAUUUUGGCCUGCAAAAAUGUAUUUUUAAACUCAGAAUUUCCCAAAAGACCUAAAUAUUUUUCAGAUAAGUUGACCUUAACUUUUUCUCUUAUCCAUAAGAAUUUUUGUUUAAUUUAUUACCUUUAUCAUAUUUAUGUGGACUUUUAUUACCUUAUUAAAAGCUGGUUUAGUUUAAAGCAUAAAAAACAACUUUGCAAACAUAUUUCCUUGACUUUAAAUUUUGCCCAUUUGUAUCAUUUGUUAUCUAUAGGAUGUUUCCUUUAAAAUGUCCACCUUAUGUUUUCUGUUCAAUGUCUCUGUGUUUUCAGUCUUUCUUUCAGAUUAUGUUCCUUUGAAAUUGUUACAAAUCUUUCACUGGGCCAUGUUGAGGCAAAAGUCCAUUGCCGGGAAGUUUAAUUGACUGUAGCCAUGCAAAUCUUCUGUAGUAAUCAGCUUCGUUCUUUUCAAUUCAAUUUUUGUUGACAAUUUCUCUUUUUCACUUCUUCUCUCGGUGCUCAAAACUUUGCUCUCCAUCCGUCGGUAUACUUGAAUUGCUUUUGAUUUGAUUUGGUUUUGAUGUUUCUUCUUUCAUAUCAUGUGCGUAAUUUUCCUCCUCUCCAAUUGGCGUCCUACGAGCUCUGAUGCAUUGGUUGCUCCUCCCACUUGGACAUUUCUGGUUGCUCUCAUCCUUCUGUCUCCCCCCUGUUUUGGCCCCUGUGGCUCUGUUUAGGCCCUUCCGACCUUUCGACCCUCAGAUAAGCUAGAUCAUCUAGCACAAUGAGGCAUGUUGUCAUCUCCUCCUCCUCUUGCUCCUUUUAUUUUCUGUACACAAAUAGCUCAAUACAUAGACAGUUAGUUUCUUCAUACAACACUUAAUUCCAUAUUUCCUCAAUAUGCAUAGGUCGAUCGGCAAAUAUUUCAUGCAGUGUUAAAGGUGUACUUUUGUUAGUUUACAUGCUCAUUAAUACAAGGUAAAACAUCUAUUAUGUUAAGAUUAGUAUUUUCACACAUUUUGUUAAGUAUGGCUUUGAUGGUUAUUCCUUUUCUAUACCUUUUUAUCUACUAUCCCUUGUGAUUAUAGAUGAUAGUCAAAUUUUUCUUCACUCUUAUCCGUCAAAUCAAUUUUUUCGUUCUUAUAACAACUCAAAAUCUUCAUUCUUAUCACAAAUCAAAUAAUACAUUUUCAUUCCACUUAUUUGCCCCAUGACUGAGAUUUUUCACUUCUAUACGAUCUAAUAAGAUCUCAUGACACUCUGAUGCCCUUUUUAGCUUCCACAUCUGUUUGCCCAUGCUGGCAAAAUCAACUGUUCUCCUGUGUGCCUAUAAAUCAAUGACAACCAAUCAUUUUAUCAACUUUUUAGCAUUAAUCAACCAGAUAAUGUUUCAGCAUGUUUGAAUGGUGGUUCAUCCAUUCUAAACCUGUAAAAUGUUUUCCCUCAUAAGUAAAUACGUAAAUGCAACUAUCUACUUCUUAUGCAAAUCAUAAUUCACAGUAAAAAUGUUUAUCAAAUGGAGAAACACUUGUCAGCAAAGUAUGUGGUUUUUGUAACAUCAAUCUUUUCUUGUCAUUAAUUGCUCUUAAAUUGUAGACUAGAUACAAUUUAGACACACAGUUUUAGACACACAUUUUCUCACAGCUUUUUCUUGUUUACCUUUUAUAUUAUCCUAUGGUGUUAUUUCAAUUUAUUUCUUUCAUCUAUUUUAUUUUCCUUUCCGCCAUAGCUCUUCUAAGCCAUUUAUAUUUUUGCUUUUUAAUACAGUGAUUGGAGUUCUAACUUCCUCUGUACAAUACCAAAUUUAAAAAACCCCAAUUUUCAUUAUGCAUUUCUUCCUGUCAGAUUAAUAGGAGUCUGAUUUGAUUUCAGAACAGGUAGUAGAGGUAGGUAGCAGAUUCUUGAUCAGCCUUUAAAUUUGUCUAGCUGAUUUUCUCAUAAAGAUUGUCUGUGUCCCUAUAAUAACAAGGUCUUUACUAAACAUUGAACGGCUGUGUCACUCUUCCCCUCUUUCACUCAAAGGCUUGUAUGAAGAUGAAAAAGUGUUCAGGGUCCAGUUUUUUCUCUUGUCUCCAAGAACAUUAUUGUCUUUGUGAGUCUCCUUCGGGACUCCACUCAGUCUUUUUUUUUCAUCCUUGUAAUUGUCUCUGAACAUAUGCGCAGUGCCCCCUUCACCACUUGAGAUCAAUCAUAGUCCCAUUCAAAUAGUAUGUGUCCUCAGUCCAGUUUAUGAGUUGCUCCUCUCUUUGCGACUCCAACACUUUGAUGUCACACACAGUUUUUUUCAUUGUAUGUUUCUUGCCAGCUUUUUAGUCACUUUCUUGAAUGUCAAAGGAUGUGAGAGAUCAGCCCAGCAAUGUUCAGAUUGACCCAUGCCAAAUAUUGCCUUUUAAUUUAAAAUAAAAUUUAUUUUGUGACCACCUUCCAUCAUCAGAUGAAGACUCCUCUUCAUUUUGUUAAAUCUUUUUUUAUCUUUAUAUAAUUUAUCUUUGUCAUUCAACUUUUAAUAUUUUUACUGUCCUUUUUAAUUUUUCUCUUUAUUUCCACCUUUAAUAUCUUGGUCUCUACUCUUUUCCUUUUAACUUGUUUCUCUUUUAUAGCUUCUUCUCUGUCUUUCUGCUAGGUUUUGCCUUAAACCUACAAUUCCCUCGAGCAAUGAGAAUUGACCUUACAGGUCAAAUCUGGUGACCAUUUGGAUCCCCCUCCCUUUUUCUCCUCUCUCUCUCUC